ensembl:lncRNA MIR663AHG MIR663A host gene
GAUCCUCUCUCCUCCCCGAGCGGCUCACCGGCUUUACGUCGGUUGGUGGCCGCGUCUGGGACCGAACCGGGCACCGCCUUGUGGAAAAAAAAGAAUAGAAUAUACCCUGUUAAAUCAGACAUGAUACUUGCUUUUGUGGAGCUUAUGCUUUAGUGCAGAAACAGAAAGUCAAGCAAAAACUCAAACUAUGUAACUUUAAAUUGGAUAUGUGCUAAUGAAGGAAAAUGUGGCACUGUAAGAAAAAAUAAUAGGGAGUUAAAGGAUAAAUAGGAGUUUGCUGGAUGAAAUUUAUGAAGAGCUGAAGAUUUCAAACAAAAGAAACUGAUGCAGGAGGGUGCAGCUUUGGAGUCAAGAAUGAAGUUCUAGGAGAUAGAGAGCAAAGAAAUGGUGGGAGAGGAGGUCAAAAAAUACUAGGCUUUAGAAUUUCACCAUAUGAAUUUUGGGAGAGAGGAGCACAGUUCAGCCCAUAACUAACACACGACGGAAUGAAGUUGAUAAUAGUGAGACCUUGUUGGUACAAGACUAUGUAACAUAACCUGCGCUUCUCAACAAAGAAUUGCUUUUCUGACUUCUGCACUCAAUAGCAAGACAAAUCUCUCCUCUGCCUUCUCCUUAUCAGACUACUCAACAUGAAGGCAAUAAGAAUGAAGACCUCUAUGUAUAAUAAUUGACUUCCACUUAAUAAAUAAGGUUACUUGGUACACUGGUCGACAAAACCUUGAAAUGUUGAUGUUUAAGGGCUGUUGAUUGCUGGCAGCAAAGAAGUCCAACUGUGCUGGUACCCGAGAUAGCGUCUCCACAUUUUCUUCCAGGAUCAUCACCUUUGUUCUAAAUAGCUCCCACAUAGUGUGAACAGAAGUCAUAUGUUUUAGAUUUUCUGCCUUGGCACCCAGGAAACCAGUAUGAUUGAGUAAACAUAUUAAACUUCCUCUGCAUUUCCAGCCUGAACAGAUGUUGAGUACAAGCUGAUCCACCUACGUUCAACCUGAGAGAGUCCACAUCCACAGACUGUUUCAUUUCCCUUUUUCAAUUUACAUAGAAGCAUAGAUUCUUGCUGGCAUAUACAAAUGCGCCAUUUAAGGCAAUCAAAAAUGGUUCCACAUCUCAUCUGAUUUCCACAAUUGUUGCUGUAACGAUGGACUACUGAGGAGAGAGACAAUUUCUCUGGCACAUCUUCCCACAUUUUAGCAACAUGUUCAUGGAGAGCCAAUAUUCAGUAAUUACAGCCCAAUUCCUCACAAUUUCACAAUUCGCUAACAAUAUGCAUUUUCACAAUGUAAAGCUGAUUUUCCUUUAACCAAAUCAAACAUGAAAAGAUAGCUGCAUGCAAUGGGCAAUCUAGAUCAUUAGAAGAUUGAUGUAAAAUUAGAGGACACUGAGACUGGAAUAGAUUGCAAACUUCAGGGAGCUCAGAAAACUUGUAAACUCUACAUUUUGAGGAAAUAUGUUGUCGAUGCUUUUGCAACUCUAUGCAGUAACUUAACAAAUAAAGCCUUAAAGUAAC